UACGUAGGGUGCAAGCGUUGUCCGGAAUUAUUGGGCGUAAAGAGCUCGUAGGUGGUUUGUUACGUCUGCUGUGAAAACCUAGGGCUUAACCCUGGGCUUGCAGUGGAUACGGGCAGACUAGAGGUAGGUAGGGGAGAAUGGAAUUCCUGGUGUAGCGGUGAAAUGCGCAGAUAUCGAGAGGAACACCUGCGGCGAAGGCGGGUUGCUGGGCUGACACUGACGCUGAUGCGCGAAAGCCAGGGGAGCGAACGGG
rnacentral:rRNA from 1 species